CCGCUCCUCCCCUCCCUCCUGGAGUGUGCUAACGCUGUCAAACCGCUGUUUGGCGGUGGCUAGGCAGGGAACGCUGGGAGGUAGGUGGAGGAGCGGGGAUGAGUGCACUCAGAGUGGGAGGAGGUGGUGGGGUGGAGGGUGAGAGGAGGUUGGCAGCCGGUGGGUGCAGAGCACUCACUAAUUUUUCCCUGUUGGUGCUCCAGCCCUAGAACACCCACGGAGUUGGCACCUAUGCUACCUACCAUACUAAAGCACCAGUUCCUGCAUCUACAAAGUCUUUGAAAUGGAUUAUAGAAAUGAUAAGAAAUGGAUAAUAUCAGAGAUUACAAUUAAAACUUGGGAUCUGAAAGGAGUGAUGAAGAUGCAGUUGUCUCCCAAAGAUUCAGCUCAUCCAAUCCCGACACAUAUGGCCAGUUUCUUGGCUCUGCUUCCAGGGACGGGAAGGAUACUGAAAGCUGGCUUCAUGCCACCCACUCACCUCAUCUCUUCAGAGGGAGAGCGUGGGACUGGAACUCUGGAUGCACCAAGGAAAAUGGUUCCAUCCACUGCCUGAAUAACCCUAAAUGAAAACAUCCUUAGGCUGCAAGAGACGAGGAUAAGCUCUAACUGAAAUUUAUAAACUUACAUAAUAUAUUUAUAAAAAGGCAUCCAAUCGUCAAAGGCCCUGACAGAGCUGGGACAUUGGAAUGUUAGCUCUCCCUACAAAGAAAAAUGAAUGAUGUAAGUUUAAAUAUUCCAAUUACUUUGCCCAUUCUAGUCUUUUGAUGUGCCUAAUGACUGUUUCAUUUGAAGUUAUUUAUGAUUUUCAGUUAAAAUGUUUCCAGCAAGGUUUCUGCAACUUUGUGUUUCUACACAGAUUUUCAGCUCAAUACCUAAUAUCACUGUACUGUAUUUCUGCACUUUAUUGAAAUUGUCCUUGCUUCCAAUAGUAUUUUAGAAGUGUAUAUAUUUUAAUGGACAGAGGAUUAUUCUUUAUAUUCAUAAAAUUAAGGUUGUUGAAG
rnacentral:lncRNA from 1 species